GAUGAAGAACGCAACGAAAUGCGAUAAGUAAUGUGAAUUGCAGAAUUCAGUGAAUCAUCGAAUCUUUGAACGCACAUUGCGCCCGCUGGUAUUCCGGCGGGCAUGCCUGUUCGAGCGUCAUUUCAACCCUCAAGCUCUCCGGAGUUUGGUGUUGGGGCGCCUGGGGCUUUUCGACCUCAGGGCCCUCAAGUCCAUCGGCGGGACCGCCAGGACACUGAGCGCAGUAGUAUUAUUUCGCUCGGUAGGAUCUUCCACGGCGGGUCGAUCUGGCCGCUAAACCCCCCAAUUCUCACCAAAGGUUGACCUCGGAUCAGGUAGGAAUACCCGCUGAACUUAAGCAUAUCAAUAAGCGGAGGA
rnacentral:misc_RNA from 1 species